rnacentral:rRNA from 1 species
GAUGAACGCUGGCGGCGUGCUUAACACAUGCAAGUCGAACGGAAAGGCCCAAGCUUGCUUGGGUACUCGAGUGGCGAACGGGUGAGUAACACGUGGGUGAUCUGCCCUGCACUUCGGGAUAAGCCUGGGAAACUGGGUCUAAUACCGGAUAGGACCACAUUUUGGAUGGUGUGGUGGAAAGUUUUUCGGUGUGGGAUGAGCUCGCGGCCUAUCAGCUUGUUGGUGGGGUAAUGGCCUACCAAGGCGUCGACGGGUAGCCGGCCUGAGAGGGUGUACGGCCACAUUGGGACUGAGAUACGGCCCAGACCCCUACGGGAGGCAGCAGUGGGGAAUAUUGCACAAUGGGCGCAAGCCUGAUGCAGCGACGCCGCGGGGGGGAUGACGGCCUUCGGGUUGUAAACUCCGUUCGCUAGGGACGAAGCGUUAUGUGACGGUACCUGGAGAAGAAGCACCGGCUAACUACGUG